CCUCACUACAAUCUAGACGAACAUGUCAAUUUUUGAUAUAUCAAAUUCAGUUUGUGUUUAUUUCCGAAGAACAUAAUAUAAAACAAAUUUCAAAGUUCAAAACGAAGACUGCUCAACAAUUACUAUGGACUAUCAGGAGUAUUUCUAUAAGCUGACCAUAUUCCAUUCUCGUCUGCAGACCGAUUAUGGACUGUUGAUCAAGGCAGCGACUUGCAUUGCCUUUGGCGCAGUUUGCGGAUGGAUUAUGGCUUUAUUGGCAUGGAUACUCUAUAAGAUAACCAUCUACUUGGAUGCAGUGCCAGUGGUGAAGUACAAUUAUCUGGAUGAUGAUUUGGAUUUGGAGUCGGAGACUGGGUAUGAUGCUGACAUUGCUGGCCCCUUGAGGCAAUUGCAGCCCGAAGAUAACGACCGCUAAAAAAUGAAGCGUUUUGUCAUUGAUCUAUGAAGUGCUUGAUGAAUUUCAAGCAAAUUAACUCAAGAAAAGCGCAAGCAACGCAAGAAGAAACACAAUCCUUUGGCAUAGCUGCGAGAUCUCUAACAUAAACAUAAAUACAUUUAUUUUUGUCGAAUAAAACUUUAAUUAAAUUAAAUUGGAAUUUAA